rnacentral:rRNA from 1 species
UACAGAGGGGGCAAGCGUUGUUCGGAAUUACUGGGCGUAAAGCGUGCGCAGGCGGCUAUGCAAGACAGAUGUGAAAUCCCCGGGCUCAACCUGGGAACUGCAUUUGUGACUGCAUUGCUAGAGUACGGUAGAGGGGGAUGGAAUUCCGCGUGUAGCAGUGAAAUGCGUAGAUAUGCGGAGGAACACCGAUGGCGAAGGCAAUCCCCUGGACCUGUACUGACGCUCAUGCACGAAAGCGUGGGGAGCAAACAGG